CUUGCGGCACACCCAGAAGAGGCUCUGGUAUUCGCUUUGCUUCAUCGAUAGCGGAUUCUGUGCAUAUUUGAUCCUCGUACGUUGGCUCAAUGCUGUUCUGGCCAUUGAUGUCGCUAUAGUGAUACAGCAACGGUCCGAGAUUCACCCAAAUGCCGCCAGGCACUAGAAUUCUGCAAAGCAUUAAGUCACAAAUUAGAACAGAGCACAACGUGGAGCAACUGCAACCGCGAGACUCACUUGUAAAUGUUGUAGGCAUCCGGCGUUUUAUAGACCUCAAGGAAAUCACCAGCGGCCAUCUCGAUGUUGCCCUUGGGCGGAUUCC